AUAAGCAACAAAUUUGAAGAAAUUUUAAUGACGAUAUUUACUGAAAACUUGAACAACAUUGUAGAUCACCCUGUGAUGGCCCACAGAAUGUCUGCUCGGCAGAUGGCUAGAUAAUUGAAAAAAAGUCGUUAAUUUUCUCCACAUUAUAAAUUCUGUGGUAGUCGCUGGGUUUGUCAUUCGUACCCACACGAUCUAACAGUAUUCAGAUCACCCAAGUCUUAUUGAAGUAAAUCAUACCGAGGAUACCGUCAUGUAUUCCCUACUGAUGCUGACACUUGUUUCUGCUCUUGUUUACGAGACGACAGCCAUCGGUCAGUGCCCGUUCUGCGAGUCCGGUUACGCCCACUGCCUGGAAUUCUUUGGCUGCUCCAACAGAAGCAAUGAUGCCGACAAAUGCUACAACUACUGUGAUAAAAGGUUUGAGGUGUGUGAGAAAACCACAGGUUGUAAGCGGCAACCGCCACCAAGCAUUGAAGACUACAACAAAUUCCCAGGACUCUGAUGGAAAAGGCGAAGCAAAAUAUGUUACGUUAACAGUCAUGAAAUAAAUUUGUAUUUCAAUAUUGUCAAA